rnacentral:rRNA from 1 species
AUUGAACGCUGGCGGCAGGCCUAACACAUGCAAGUCGAGCGGAUGAAGGGAGCUUGCUCCUGGAUUCAGCGGCGGACGGGUGAGUAAUGCCUAGGAAUCUGCCUGGUCGUGGGGGAUAACGUCCGGAAACGGGCGCUAAUACCGCAUACGACCUGAGGGAGACAGUGGGGGAUCUUCGGACCUCACGCUAUCAGAUGAGCCUAGGUCGGAUUAGCUAGUUGGUGGGGUAACGGCCUACCAAGGCGACGAUCCGUAACUGGUCUGAGAGGAUGAUCAGUCACACUGGAACAGAGACACGGUCCAGACUCCUACGAGAGGCAGCAGUGGGGAAUAUUGGACAAUGGGCGAGAGCCUGAUCCAGCCAUGCCGCGUGUGUGAAGAAGGUCUUCGGAUUGUAAAGCACUUUAAGUUGGGGGGAAGGGCAGUAAGUUAAUACCUGGCGGUUUUGACGGUACCAGCAGAAUAAGCACCGGCUAACUUCGUG